rnacentral:misc_RNA from 1 species
ACCCAAGUCAAAAUCGGUGGAUUCACGUAUUUACAUAUUAGUUAGGGAAUAUAAAUAUUAAAAAAAAUCAAAAUUUUAAUUUAUUCGGUUUUCGGUUUAAAGCAUACACAAACCAAAUAUACAUAUAAGUAAAAAAGAAAUCAAGUCCCAAUGCAUGUGCAAUUUUCCCAAGUCCAGCAUCUUGAAUUUACAUUCUAUUAUUUUAUAUGCAAAUAAAUCAAAAGAAAUUUAAAAAAAGAAAAGCCA